GUUGCAGGGUAUAGACCCGAAACCCGGUGAUCUAGCCAUGGGCAGGUUGAAGGUUGGGUAACACUAACUGGAGGACCGAACCGACUAAUGUUGAAAAAUUAGCGGAUGACUUGUGGCUGGGGGUGAAAGGCCAAUCAAACCGGGAGAUAGCUGGUUCUCCCCGAAAGCUAUUUAGGUAGCGCCUCGUGAAUUCAUCUUCGGGGGUAGAGCACUGUUUCGGCUAGGGGGUCAUCCCGACUUACCAACCCGAUGCAAACUGCGAAUACCGAAGAAUGUUAUCACGGGAGACACACGGCGGGUGCUAACGUCCGUCGUGAAGAGGGAAACAACCCAGACCGCCAGCUAAGGUCCCAAAGUCAUGGUUAAGUGGGAAACGAUGUGGGAAGGCACAGACAGCCAGGAUGUUGGCUUAGAAGCAGCCAUCAUUUAAAGAAAGCGUAAUAGCUCACUGGUCGAGUCGGCCUGCGCGGAAGAUGUAACGGGGCUAAACCAUGCACCGAAGCUGCGGCAGCGACACUAUGUGUUGUUGGGUAGGGGAGCGUU
rnacentral:rRNA from 1 species